rnacentral:rRNA from 1 species
UUGAAAGGGAAACGAUUGAAGUCAGUCGUGCUGGCGCGAAAUCAACCUUCUCGUCUUGAGAUCACAUGGCGUGGCGAGCCUCAAAACCGUCACGAAGCGUGAACUCUUGGUGAAAUGGAGCACUUUCGUGUCCGCUGGUUAACAUCAAUUUCGAACGUCAUAAAAAGGCUGGAGGGAUGUGACUCCUUCGGGAGUGUUAUAACCUUUAGCGGAAUGUGGUGUUCGGGAUUGAGGAUUGCAACGAAUACCUUUAGGGCUGUUCCACCUGGCUUCUCUUUGGUAUCCUGGUGACGACAGCUUGCUGACGUCGUUAGGAUUCGCCUUUGAACAGGCUAGAGUGUGAGCAAAUUCGUUAAGGAUGUUGACGUA